AACGCACAUUGCGCCCGUCAGUAUUCUGAUGGGCAUGCCUGUUCGAGCGUCAUUUCAAACCUCUUCAAGUAAAACUUUUUACUUGGUGUUGGGGUUCUGCAGUAUAGGCAGGCCCCUAAAAUCAGUGGCGAGCUCACCAGUAAACCCCAGCGUAGUAAAAAAAACAUCGCUUCAGGGCUUUUCGAAGAGUCUUUGCCGUUAAAAACCCCUUACUUAAACAAGGUUGACCUCGGAUCAGGUAGGAAUACCCGCUGAACUUAA
rnacentral:misc_RNA from 1 species